rnacentral:rRNA from 1 species
UACGGAGGAUGCAAGCGUUAUCCGGAAUGAUUGGGCGUAAAGCGUCCGCAGGUGGCUGUGUAAGUCUGCUGUUAAAGAGUCUAGCUCAACUAGAUACAAGCAGUGGAAACUACACGGCUAGAGUACGUUCGGGGCAGAGGGAAUUCCCGGUGUAGUGGUGAAAUGCGUAGAUAUCGGGAGGAACACCAGUGGCGAAGGCGACUACCUGGCCUGUUCUUGACGCUGAGGCGCGAAAGCUAGGGGAGCAAACGGG